CAGCAGCCGCGGGAAUACAGAGGGUGCGAGCGUUAAUCGGAUUUACUGGGCGUAAAGCGUGCGUAGGCGGCUAAUUGAGUCGGAUGUGAAAUCCCCGAGCUUAACUUGGGAAUUGCAUUCGAUACUGGUUAGCUAGAGUGUGGGAGAGGAUGGUAGAAUUCAAGGUGUAGCGGUGAAAUGCGUAGAGAUCUGGAGGAAUACCGAUGGCGAAGGCAGCCAUCUGGCCUAACACUGACGCUGAGGUACGAAAGCAUGGGGAGCAAACAGGAUUAGAUACCCCGGUAGUCCCUGUCUCUUAUAA
rnacentral:rRNA from 1 species